rnacentral:piRNA from 1 species
UAAACAAGGAAGGUGUAGUCCCCAAAUCC